ensembl:lncRNA
CCUUAAUAAACAACUAUGCAGCACGCUCUGUUACUCACUGACUCCCUGUGUCUGAGUACUGAGGCAUUGGUGCUGCAUCUUCUCACCCACUCCCCCAAGGGGUGUCUGAGCAGGAUCACCGGCAACACUGACACAACAUAAUAAGUCAAGGACCCUCCAAAGUUCCUGCCUCUGGGUUCCUGCUUUGAGUUUCUGCCCUGACCUCCCUCAAUAAUGAACUCUAAUAAGGAAAAGAGAAUAAACCCUUUACUCCUCAAGUUUUCAUGGUAACAAUCAAACUAGAAAGCAGAAUCUCCCAGUGAACAUAAGCCAAGUGCUAAGUGGGAAGCUCACAUUGAAAAAUAUGUGCUGUCCUUGUUGGAUUUGGUGGCAUAAACCUGCAGUAUCUGCUACUUGAACUGCUGCUCCUGAUGAGGCAUUAGGAUUGCAACUUCAAAAAGAAUUCAAGGCCAUUUGAAAAGACAUAUCCAGUCCAUGAUCCAAGACUUAAGAGAGAACAUAGAAAAUCUGAAACAUGUUCAUGAUUCCUGUCUUCCCAGAAAAGAACAGAAUGUGGCAUCACACUGCUGAGGAGAAUAGUAAGACUGGACUAAAUAGUAAGACUGGACUGAAGCUCAUACAAGGACAUCCUGUGCUUUUAGCGUUGUAUUUGUUAUCUAAGGUGUGUUUUGGUUGCUCUGCAUUCCAGUUGUAGAAAACACUGCUAAAAAGGGAUAGAAACAAUAAUUAACAGAUAUAAUUUACAAUAAAAUACAAUACAAUUCUGAUGCAGUGGCUAAAGGGAAAUAAAGAGGCCAAUAGUAUAAAACCUGCUGAAUCCAUUUACUGUUGCUUAUGUGUAUAUAUUUCAGAGCUGACCGCUAGGUAUUGAAUAACCAACUAGGGAGAUCAUCCCCAGGGAAGACUAAUUCUCCCUCUCUUAGCCUUCAUAUAGUUGCCUGUAGCUCUUUAUCUAGGUGCGAAUCCCCAUGAAAUUUCCUCUUCCACCUUAGUAGGUCUAAAGGGGCUGUCAUUGUUCAGGUCUUCUUUUAGGCAGCCAUACUAUUGAGGUAUCAUGGUUGUAGCUUUCCUAUUGUUUCUAGGAGACACAAUCUCAUGAAAGACUUCAUGGUCCUCUCAUUCUUACAGUCUUUUCAUCUUCUCUCUAUUGAUAUUCCCUGAGCCUUAGGGGCAAGGAUUGUGUUGCAGAUGUAUUUCCUGGAGCUGGGUAUAGCAAAAUUGGUUGAUCCCCGAAUUUUGAUGAGUUACAGUUUUCCGUGAAACUCUCAGUGUGUUGCAAAAAUGAAACCACUUUGAUGAGGGGUGAAAGCUACACUUACCUGUGUGUAUAAGGGCAAGUGCUAGAUUACAAGUUAAGGAAAUAUGCUGGCUGAGUAAAGUGGUAAUCUAGAGGUAGAUCUCCUCUAAGAUAUGCAACAUUAUUAGCCUUGUGUUCUUGACUAGAUUUCUAAUACUGGACACAAUUUCUUUCUUGUUGAGCUGGCCUCAAAUCCAAUUAGACGGCUAUUUAUUCUUGCCAAGUUAUGAAUACCACCAUUGGACCUUUAGAGAUAUCUUUCCUUGGCCGUCAUUGUUGUAGAUUCUAGGCAACAAGACUGGGUAGGACUGUUGAUCUCUUCCUCUCUCGGCAUCUUGCAUAGCAAUUUCUGGUACUAUAAAAACUAGACACCAGGGAGGAAGCUUCCAGAUCAGAUCCAGCACACAUUUGAGUCAUGUGUCUGGUGAUGUCAUCAGUAGUACUUACCUUCAACUUCUGGGAGACAACCAAGAGCAAGAGCAAUAGCCUAUGUUGCUUUCAGUGUCUCUUGGACAUCCAGUCACUGAAAAGGUUUCUCAUGUCUGAUACUAGUUUUUUGUUCCUCAUAUGUAACUUCAUAUAUGUAGUCCUUCUGCAUCCUAUUUCUCUGUAGCUCAAGUCAGUGUGUGUGUGUGUGUGUG